rnacentral:rRNA from 1 species
GGAUGAAUUUUCCGCAAUGGGCGCAAGCCUGACGGAGCGACGCCGCGUGAGGGAUGACGGCCUUCGGGUUGUAAACCUCUUUUAUUAAGGAAAAAGGCAAUCGUGCUAACACCACGGUUGUUUGAUGGUACUUAUUGAAUAAGCCCCGGCUAACUACGUGCCAGCAGCCGCGGUAAUACGUAGGGGGCGAGCGUUGUCCGGAGUUACUGGGCGUAAAGAGCGUGUAGGCGGUUGAAAAAGUCAGGUGUGA